rnacentral:rRNA from 1 species
AGUGAACGCUGGCGGUAGGCCUAACACAUGCAAGUCGAACGGCAGCACAGGAGAGCUUGCUCUCUGGGUGGCGAGUGGCGGACGGGUGAGGAAUACAUCGGAAUCUACUCUGUCGUGGGGGACAACGUAGGGAAACUUACGCUAAUACCGCAUACGACCUACGGGUGAAAGCAGGGGACCUUCGGGCCUUGCGCGAUUGAAUGAGCCGAUGUCGGAUUAGCUAGUUGGCGGGGUAAAGGCCCACCAAGCCGACGAUCCGUAGCUGGUCUGAGAGGAUGAUCAGCCACACUGGAACUGAGACACGGUCCAGACUCCUACGGGAGGCAGCGGUGGGGAAUAUUGGACAAUGGGCGCAAGCCUGAUCCAGCCAUACCGCGUGGGUGAAGAAGGCCUUCGGGUUGUAAAGCCCUUUUGUUGGGAAAGAAAUCCAGCUGGCUAAUACCCGGUUGGGAUGACGGUACCCAAAGAAUAAGCACCGGCUAACUUCGUGCCAGCCGCCGCAGUAA